CUCUUUUGGUGUCUUCUGGUGAGCUCAGCCGAAGGCCUGCCCUUCCUGGAUAAGCCUCUUGCACGCAGGCUGGUCCUUCCACCUCCCAGAGGGCCAAAGUUGAAGAACACAAAGGAAGGCAGUGAGGAUGGUCCAAGGCAGGGAAGAGUUUCUACAAGGGAAUACCGAUCGGUCUAAUGCUUGGAAAAAGGUUAACGAGGAAGGCUACAAACAAUGGAUGGUGUUGAAGAGGUGACGAGGCACUCAAGGCUUUCAGAUUAUUUACUGCUGAAUCUGUUGCAGAAUGUCAAUGCCCUGGGCAUAGCAAGGCCUGUUCCUCCACGCACUGGAUGAUGUGAAGGCAGCACUGAAGGGAGACCUAUUGCAGAGGUCUUUUUAUAAGAAUGUUUGGCAUCUGCUAGCACAGGUUUUGAGGAA